AUUGAACGCUGGCGGCAGGCCUAACACAUGCAAGUCGAACGAGUGGCGGACGGGUGAGUAAUGUCUGGGUAACUGCCCGACGUAGGUGGAUAACUACUGGAAACGGUAGCUAAUUCCGCAUACCAUCGGAUGUGCCCAGAUGGGAUUAGCUUGUAGGUGGGGUAACGGCUCACCUAGGCGACGAACCCUAGCUGGUCUGUGGGGAUGACCAGCGAAGCGGGAACUGAGAACAGGUCCAGACUGCGACGUGAGGCAGCGGUGGGUAAUAUUGCACAAUGGGCGAAAGCCUGAUGCAGCCAUGCCGCGUGUAUGAAGAAGGUCAUCGGAUUGUAAAGCACUUUAAGUUGGGAGGCGUUACCAACAGAGUAAGCACCGGCUAACUUCGUGCCAGCAGCCGCGGUAAUAC
rnacentral:rRNA from 1 species